UAGGGAAUCUUCCGCAAUGGACGCAAGUCUGACGGAGCAACGCCGCGUGAGUGAAGAAGGAUUUCGGUUCGUAAAACUCUGUUGUUAGAGAAGAACAGCGCAUAGAGUAACUGUUAUGCGUGUGACGGUAUCUAACCAGAAAGCCACGGCUAACUACGUGCCAGCAGCCGCGGUAAUACGUAGGUGGCAAGCGUUGUCCGGAUUUAUUGGGCGUAAAGCGAGCGCAGGCGGUCAAUUAAGUCUGAUGUGAAAGCCCCCGGCUCAACCGGGGAGGGUCAUUGGAAACUUGUUGACUUGAGUGCAGAAGAGGAGAGUGGAAUUCCAUGUGUAGCGGUGAAAUGCGUAGAUAUAUGGAGGAACACCAGUGGCGAAGGCGACUCUCUGGUCUGUAACUGACGCUGAGGUUCGAAAGCGUGGGUAGCAAACAGG
rnacentral:rRNA from 1 species